GAGAGAGAAAAAGCAGUCAAAAAAAUGAAAAAACCUUUCUUUCGCUUUCUAAUUCCAUUCAAGUGCCUUUCCUUCUUAAUCAUCCUACCUACAUGUUACCCAAUAUCGGCUCCGGUGACUCGUUCGGAAUCUAAGCUGAGUUCUCUAACUCGGGAGCUGCUGGAUUCGGCGAGAGAGCCCGAGUUCUUUGAUUGGUUAAAAAGGGUUAGGAGGAAAAUCCAUGAGUACCCAGAGCUGGCCUUUGAAGAAUACAACACGAGUGAAAUCAUAAGAUCGGAGCUUCAGUCGCUUGGAAUUGAGUAUAUUUGGCCUAUCGCGAAGACUGGGGUGGUGGGUUCGAUUGGGUCAGGGAUGGAGCCAUGGUUCGGUCUUAGAGCAGACAUGGACGCCCUUCCCAUUCAGGAAUUGGUGGAGUGGGAGUACAAGAGCAAGAACAAUGGCAAAAUGCACGCUUGUGGCCAUGACGCUCAUGUCACAAUGCUGCUUGGAGCAGCAAAGUUACUUCAACGCAGGAAGGAUGAAUUAAAGGGUACUGUCAAGCUUGUCUUCCAACCUGCAGAAGAAGGUAGUGCUGGUGCUUACCAUAUGUUGAAAGAAGGAGCUCUUGAUAAGUUCCAAGCCAUUUUUGGACUCCAUGUUGAACCAGAAAUGCCUGUUGGUUCAAUUGCUUCUAGACCUGGUACAAUGGCUGCUGGUUCUGCUAGGUUCUUCGCUGUCAUUAAAGGGAAGGGAGGACAUGCUGCACGGCCCCAAGAUACAAGAGAUCCCGUUCUUGCUGCAUCCUUUGCCAUCCUUGCACUUCAACAAUUAAUUUCUCGAGAGACAGAUCCUCUUGAGGCCAGGGUACUCUCACUGGGGUUUGUUGAGGCUGGCCAAGCUGGGAAUGUAAUCCCAGAGACAGUGAAAUUUGGAGGUACCAUUCGGAGCUUAACAACUGAAGGUCUAUCCUAUCUUCAACAAAGGAUAAAGGAGGUUGUGGAGAAUCAAGCAGCUGUUCUUCAAUGCACUGCUUCAGUAGACUUCAUGGAAGAAACAAUGAGGCCAUAUCCAGCCACAGUAAAUGAUGAAGCUAUGUAUGAACAUGUCAAGCAAGUUGGGGAAGUUUUGCUUGGCGAAUCCAAUGUGCAAGUUAUGCCCGCCAUUAUGGGGUCAGAGGAUUUUAGCUUUUAUGCACAGAAGAUGAAAGCUGCAUUUUUCACUAUCGGAGUACGGAACAAAAAUGAAAAAUCAGUUAAGAGACUGCACACACCAUAUUUUUUUCUUGAUGAGGAAGUCCUUCCCAUUGGAGCUGCACUCCAUGCUGCAGUUGCCAUUUCUUCCUUGGAUACUACUGGUGUUGAGACACACUAGGACCUGCUUUUCUGUUCACUCACCCCUUAUGUGAUUAGAAAAAUAAAAAAUAGCAUGCAUUUCUAUUGUCGAGUAUUUUCUGGUGUGUCAAUUGUUAUUAUAUUUCCUACGGCCAAAUGCAUAUUUUCAUUCUUAAAAGUCUGGCAGAUGGCUGAGGAGCUAGGAGAAAAUGUAUUUAAUAAGAGAAGGUGAAAUACUGCAUAUUGACACCA
rnacentral:misc_RNA from 1 species